rnacentral:lncRNA from 12 species
AUAUCUACACACACACUACAUGUGUAUACGUACAUUUAUGUGUAUCAGCCCCUGAGGCUGGAGAAAAGGCGCUGCUGAGCUCUUCUGGGCAGAGUGCCUGUUUUCAAACUGCUCACUUGGCUUUUUGGUAGUGAAUUUGUCCCAUAAAAUUCAGAAUAGCUGAGGUUUGACCCCCAUGCUUUACUAAAAUGGUGUCCUGUGUUUCCUUGCCUUAUUCACG